UACGUAGGGUGCAAGCGUUGUCCGGAAUUAUUGGGCGUAAAGAGCUCGUAGGCGGUCUGUCGCGUCUGCUGUGAAAACUCAGGGCUUAACCCUGAGCUUGCAGUGGGUACGGGCAGACUAGAGUGCGGUAGGGGAGACUGGAAUUCCUGGUGUAGCGGUGAAAUGCGCAGAUAUCAGGAGGAACACCGGUGGCGAAGGCGGAUCUCUGGGCCAUUACUGACGCUGGAGGAGCGAAAGCGUCGGGGAGCGAACAGG
rnacentral:rRNA from 1 species